rnacentral:rRNA from 1 species
UACGUAGGGUGCGAGCGUUGUCCGGAAUUAUUGGGCGUAAAGAGCUCGUAGGCGGUUUGUCGCGUCUGCUGUGAAAACUGGGGGCUCAACCCCCAGCCUGCAGUGGGUACGGGCAGACUAGAGUGCGGUAGGGGAGAUUGGAAUUCCUGGUGUAGCGGUGGAAUGCGCAGAUAUCAGGAGGAACACCGAUGACGAAGGCAGAUCUCUGGGCCGUAACUGACGCUGAGGAGCGAAAGCAUGGGGAGCGAACAGG